UAAGGAAUAUUGGUCAAUGGACGGAAGUCUGAACCAGCCAUGCCGCGUGGAGGAUGAAGGUCCUCUGGAUUGUAAACUUCUUUUAUCGGGGGCGAAAAAGGGCCAUUCUUGGUCAACUGACGGUACCCGAUGAAUAAGCACCGGCUAACUCCGUGCCAGCAGCCGCGGUAAUACGGAGGGUGCAAGCGUUAUCCGGAUUCACUGGGUUUAAAGGGAGCGUAGGCGGGCGCAUAAGUCAGUGGUGAAAGCCCUCAGCUUAACUGAGGAAUUGCCGUUGAUACUAUGCGUCUUGAAUGUCGUUGAGGUUUGCGGAAUAGGUCAUGUAGCGGUGAAAUGCAUAGAUAUGACCUGGAACACCUAUUGCGAAGGCAGCAGGCUAAACGAAUAUUGACGCUGAGGCUCGAAAGCGUGGGGAUCAAACAGG
rnacentral:rRNA from 1 species